rnacentral:tRNA from 1 species
GGGCGAAUGGUCUCAACGGUAAGAUACUUGGUUGCUGAUCCUCCUGAGGAUGGCUCGUACGGCCAUCCAAUAGUGGAUCAGCCCCAAGUGAUGUUGGUUCGACUCCGACUUCGUCCA